rnacentral:lncRNA from 1 species
CUUGAUCGACCUCUAAUGGCCGACCAACUAUUGCCACUGCUCCUCAAAGGGCUACGACUGCCACGCGCAUCAUUAUCAUAAUUUCGACCUCCUCCGCGCCUGGAUGCUCUAUAGCCUCCCGAACCUCCCCUACUAGAUUGGUCCCUACUAGAAAACCGUCCAUAAUUAUCUGCAACUGGCCCAUCAUCUUGCAAUGCAGGUAACUGCAACACAAAAUAUUCAAGAAAAACAAAGUAUUGAACUAAUCAGCACAUCACAUAUCGCGACAACUGUUACCAAGUACAGCAAGCAAAACAAAAUCAGAA